GGUGUUUCAAAUUAGCUCAUUUAUAAAACCUUCAAGAUAAUGUUUGAUAAAGCUAAAAUUCGCCAUUAAAGGGUAGCUCCUUUUCGAUGUUAACUCAGAAUAUCAGAAAUGAUGGCAUUUGUUAUUUUACUGUUGAAGCUUUUCUCACUACUUAUAAAGUAUUUGACAUAAGUAAAGAUAUAUUUUUAUUUAAUCAGCCAAAAGUAUAAUGUUAUCUUUUUUGCAAAGGCCAUCCCUUUAUGUAUAAGAAUUGUAAUUUCAUUCGUUUAAACGGGCAGUGCAUUAGAGUGAAAUUAAUUUCUCCUGGGUGUUUUCAUCAAUGUUACAUAGGGGCGUUUAGGUUUCCCGCUUCAAAAUUAUUUUCGCGGUAUUUUAUUGCCCAUGUAAUCAUUCAGCACGACACCGUC
rnacentral:lncRNA from 1 species